GAUGAACGCUAGCGGGAGACCUAACACAUGCAAGCCGAGCGGUAUUGUUUCUUCGGAAAUGAGAGAGCGGCGUACGGGUGCGUAACACGUGUGCAACCUGCCUUUAUCUGGGGGAUAGCCUUUCGAAAGGAAGAUUAAUACUCCAUAAUAUAUUGAACGGCAUCGUUUAAUAUUGAAAGCUCCGGCGGAUAGAGAUGGGCACGCGCAAGAUUAGCUAGUUGGUGAGGUAACGGCUCACCAAGGCGAUGAUCUUUAGGGGGCCUGAGAGGGUGAUCCCCCACACUGGUACUGAGACACGGACCAGACUCCUACGGGAGGCAGCAGUGAGGAAUAUUGGUCAAUGGGUGCAAGCCUGAACCAGCCAUCCCGUGUGAAGGACGACUGCCCUAUGGGUUGUAAACUUCUUUUGUAUAGGGAUAAACCUACCCUCGAGAGGGUAGCUGAAGGUACUAUACGAAUAAGCACCGGCUAACUCCGUG
rnacentral:rRNA from 1 species